GGCUCAGGAUGAACGCUAGCGGCAGGCUUAACACAUGCAAGUCGAGGGGCAGCAUGAGGGUUAGCAAUAACCUUUGAUGGGCGACCGGCGCAAGGGUGCGUAACGCGUGAGCAACUUGCCCGUUUCUGGGGAAUAACCGGUGGAAACGCCGACUAAUACCCCAUAGCAUUGAUUUCAGGCAUCUGUUAUCAAUUAAAGAAUUUCGGAAACGGAUAGGCUCGCGUGACAUUAGCUAGAUGGCGGGGUAACGGCCCACCAUGGCGACGAUGUCUAGGGGUUCUGAGAGGAAGGUCCCCCACACUGGAACUGAGACACGGUCCAGACUCCUACGGGAGGCAGCAGUGAGGAAUAUUGGUCAAUGGUCUGACGACUGAACCAGCCAUGCCGCGUGAAGGUGACGGCCCUAUGGGUCUUAAACUUCUUUUGUAAGGGAGCAAUAAGGUCUACGUGUAGAUUGAUGAGAGUACCUUACGAAUAAGCAUCGGCUAACUCCGUG
rnacentral:rRNA from 1 species